AUUGAACGCUGGCGGCAGGCUUAACACAUGCAAGUCGAACGAGUGGCGGACGGGUGAGUAAUGUCUGGGAAACUGCCUGAUGGAGGGGGAUAACUACUGGAAACGGUAGCUAAUACCGCAUACCAUCAGAUGUGCCCAGAUUGGAUUAGCUAGUAGGUGGGGUAAAGGCUCACCUAGGCGACGAUCCCUAGCUGGUCUGAGAGGAUGACCAGCCACACUGGAACUGAGACACGGUCCAGACUCCUACGGGAGGCAGCAGUGGGGAAUAUUGCACAAUGGGCGCAAGCCUGAUGCAGCCAUGCCGCGUGUGUGAAGAAGGCCUUCGGGUUGUAAAGCACUUUCAGCGGGGAGGCGUUACCCGAAGAAGAAGCACCGGCUAACUCCGUGCCAGCAGCCGCGGUAAUAC
rnacentral:rRNA from 1 species